rnacentral:rRNA from 1 species
GAUGAACGCUGGCGGCGUGCCUAAUACAUGCAAGUCGAGCGAACGGACGAGAAGCUUGCUUCUCUGAUGUUAGCGGCGGACGGGUGAGUAACACGUGGAUAACCUACCUAUAAGACUGGGAUAACUUCGGGAAACCGGAGCUAAUACCGGAUAAUAUUUUGAACCGCAUGGUUCAAAAGUGAAAGACGGUCUUGCUGUCACUUAUAGAUGGAUCCGCGCUGCAUUAGCUAGUUGGUAAGGUAACGGCUUACCAAGGCAACGAUGCAUAGCCGACCUGAGUGGGUGAUCGGCCACACUGGAACUGAGACACGGUCCAGACUCCUACGGGGGGCAGCAGUAGGGAAUCUUCCGCAAUGGGCGAAAGCCUGACGGAGCAACGCCGCGUGAGUGAUGAAGGUCUUCGGAUCGUAAAACUCUGUUAUUAGGGAAGAACAUAUGUGUAAGUAACUGUGCACAUCUUGACGGUACCUAAUCAGAAAGCCACGGCUAACUACGUG